rnacentral:rRNA from 1 species
ACGACAUUAGACGAAUCAUCUGGAAAGAUGAAUCAAAGAAGGUAAUAAUCCUGUAGUCGAAAAUGUUGUCUCUCUUGAGUGGAUCCUGAGUACGACGGAGCACGUGAAAUUCCGUCGGAAUCUGGGAGGACCAUCUCCUAAGGCUAAAUACUCUCUAGUGACCGAUAGUGAACCAGUACCGUGAGGGAAAGGUGAAAAGCACCCCGGAAGGGGAGUGAAAUAGAACCUGAAACCGUGUGCUUACAAGUAGUCAGAGCCCGUUAAUGGGUGAUGGCGUGCCUUUUGUAGAAUGAACCGGCGAGUUACGAUUUGAUGCAAGGUUAAGCAGUAAAUGUGGAGCCGUAGCGAAAGCGAGUCUGAAUAGGGCGUUUAGUAUUUGGUCGUAGACCCGAAACCAGGUGAUCUACCCUUGGUCAGGUUGAAGUUCAGGUAACACUGAAUGGAGGACCGAACCGACUUACGUUGAAAAGUGAGCGGAUGAACUGAGGGUAGCGGAGAAAUUCCAAUCGAACCUGGAGAUAGCUGGUUCUCUCCGAAAUAGCUUUAGGGCUAGCCUCAAGUGAUGAUUAUUGGAGGUAGAGCACUGUUUGGACGAGGGGCCCCUCUCGGGUUACCGAAUUCAGACAAACUCCGAAUGCCAAUUAAUUUAACUUGGGAGUCAGAACAUGGGUGAUAAGGUCCGUGUUCGAAAGGGAAACAGCCCAGACCACCAGCUAAGGUCCCAA